CAGCAGCCACGGUAAUACGUAGGUGGCAAGCGUUGUCCGGAAUUAUUGGGCGUAAAGGGCUCGCAGGCGGUUUCUUAAGUCUGAUGUGAAAGCCCCCGGCUCAACCGGGGAGGGUCGUUGGAAACUGGGAAACUUGAGUGCAGAAGAGGAGAGUGGAAUUCCACGUGUAGCGGUGAAAUGCGUAGAGAUGUGGAGGAACACCAGUGGCGAAGGCGACUCUCUGGUCUGUAACUGACGCUGAGGAGCGAAAGCGUGGGGAGCGAACAGGAUUAGAUACCCCGUAGUCCCUGUCUCUUAUACC
rnacentral:rRNA from 1 species